rnacentral:rRNA from 1 species
CAGCCGUAAACUAUGCGCGUUAGGUGUAUCGGUGACCACGAGUUACCGAGGUGCCGAAGGGAAACCGUGAAACGUGCCGCCUGGGAAGUACGGUCGCAAGGCUGAAACUUAAAGGAAUUGGCGGGGGAGCACCACAACAGGUGGAGCCUGCGGUUUAAUUGGACUCAACGCCGGGAAGCUCACCGGAUAGGACAGCAGAAUGAUUGCCGGGCUGAAGACUCUACUUGAUGAUCUGAGAGGAGGUGCAUGGCGUCAGUG